rnacentral:rRNA from 1 species
UUAGCGAAAGUGCCGGUAAUACCUGAUGAUAUCCGGAGAUCGCAUGGUCUUUGGAUCAAAGGUGGGGACCCCUCGGGGCCUGCUGGUUUGGGAGCGGCCCAUGUCCUAUCAGCUUGUUGGUGAGGUAACGGCUCACCAAGGCUCCGACGGGUAGCGGGCGUGAGAGCGUGGCCCGCCACAUCGGGACUGAGACACUGCCCGGACACCUACGGGUGGCUGCAGCAACGAAUAUUCCGCAAUGGGCGAAAGCCUGACGGAGCGACGCCGCGUGCAGGAUGAAGUCCUUCGGGAUGUAAACUCCAAUAGUUUAUCAGGAAGUGAACCGGCUGAUAAGGUCGGGGCGUUGACCAGCGAACGAAAGGGGCGGCUAACUCCGUGCCAGCAGCCGCGGUAAUACGGGGGCCCCUAGCGUUAUUCGGAAUUACUGGGCUUAAAGAGGGUGUAGGCGGAACGGUAAGUACCUUGUGAAAGCCCCGGGCUCAACCCGGGAAUUGCUGGGUAUACUAUCGUUCUUGAGGCAGGUAGGGGUCGCUGGAACCUUAGGUGGAGCGGUGAAAUGCGUAGAUAUCUAAGGGAACGCCUGUGGCGAAAGCGGGUGACUGGGCCUGUACUGACGCUGAGACCCGAAAGCGUAGGGAGCGAACGGGAUUAGAUACCCCGGUAGUCUACGCCGUAAACGAUGCGCACUAGGUUCGAGGGUUCUGACAACUUUCGUGCAGAAGCAAAAGUGAUAAGUGCGCCGCCUGGGGAGUACGGCCGCAAGGCUAAAACUCAAAGGAAUUGACGGGGGCUCACACAAGCGGUGGAGCAUGUGGAUCAAUUCGAAGCAACGCGAAGAACCUUACCUGGGUUUGACAUGCUUGGAUGCCCUCUUGGAAACAGGAGUAAGCUGCCUUCGGGUGAAACUUGCACAGGUGCUGCAUGGCUGUCGUCAGCUCGUGCUGUGAAGUGUCGGGUUAAGUCCCUUAACGAGCGAAACCCUUGUCGCUAGUUGCCAGCGGGUAAUGCCGGGGACUCUAGCGAGACUGCCGGUGUCAAACCGGAGGAAGGUGGGGAUGACGUCAAGUCCUCAUGGCCUUUACACCCAGGGUUUCACACGUGCUACAAUGGGGCGGACAGAGCGAUGCGAUCCGGCGACGGGGAGCAAAUCGCACAAACCGUCUCUCAGUUCGGAUUGGAGUCUGCAACUCGACUCCAUGAAGUUGGAAUCGCUAGUAAUCGCGUAUCAGCAACGACGCGGUGAAUAUGUUCCUGAGCCUUGUACACACCGCCCGUCAAGUCAUGGAAGCUGGGAGUACCCGAAGUCCGUGCAAUACAGUAGUGCCGACGGAAAGCCCGGUGACUGGGACUAAGUCGUAACAAGGUAACC